AGGGAAAUAGUUCAGCAUAGUAGAACAAAGGACUUGCAUUCCUGAGGACUCAGGUUAAAUUCCUGGUACCUCUA
rnacentral:tRNA from 1 species